GGCUUUAUAGUCAAGAAAUGAUAUUAGACUGCAAUUCUAAAGGAGUAGUAUAUUCUACUAAGGCUU
rnacentral:tRNA from 1 species